rnacentral:rRNA from 1 species
GACGAACGCUGGCGGCGUGCUUAACACAUGCAAGUCGAACGCUGAAGCUCAGCUUUUGUUGGGUGGAUGAGUGGCGAACGGGUGAGUAACACGUGAGUAACCUGCCCCCUUCUUUGGGAUAACGCCCGGAAACGGGUGCUAAUACUGGAUAUUCACUGGUCUUCGCAUGGGGGUUGGUGGAAAGGGUUUUUCUGGUGGGGGAUGGGCUCGCGGCCUAUCAGCUUGUUGGUGGGGUGAUGGCCUACCAAGGCUUUGACGGGUAGCCGGCCUGAGAGGGUGACCGGUCACAUUGGGACUGAGACACGGCCCAGACUCCUACGGGAGGCAGCAGUGGGGAAUAUUGCACAAUGGGCGCAAGCCUGAUGCAGCGACGCCGCGUGAGGGAUGGAGGCCUUCGGGUUGUGAACCUCUUUCGCUCAUGGUCAAGCCGCAACAAUGGUUGUGGUGAGGGUAGUGGGUAAAGAAGCGCCGGCUAACUACGUG